UGGGGAAUCUUCCGCAAUGGGCGCAAGCCUGACGGAGCAACGCCGCGUGAGUGAAGAAGGUUUUCGGAUCGUAAAGCUCUGUUGAGAGGGACGAGAGAUAUAAUCAGGAAAUGGGUUAUAGAGGACGGUACCUUUCGAGGAAGCCACGGCUAACUACGUGCCAGCAGCCGCGGUAAUACGUAGGUGGCGAGCGUUGUCCGGAAUUAUUGGGCGUAAAGGGAGCGCAGGUGGGAAAGUAAGUCAGUCUUAAAAGUUCGGGGCUCAACCCCGUGAUGGGAUUGAAACUACUUUUCUUGAGUGCAGGAGAGGAAAGCGGAAUUCCUAGUGUAGCGGUGAAAUGCGUAGAUAUUAGGAGGAACACCAGUGGC
rnacentral:rRNA from 1 species